ACUCACUCUUUUCGGAUUCCAAUCACUCAUACCUCAUCAUCACUAAAAAGAGUGAGUGAUUUGAAUCCUGAAAGAGUGAGU
rnacentral:pre_miRNA from 1 species